UAGACAUUUUGUCCACUGGAACACUGGUAUCAUGAAGCAAAUGGAAUGGGAAGUUCUCUUGCAUUGGCUGCUUUCUUCAACUGUGUAAUGGAGCAAGAUAAUAAAUCUUCCCAUAAGUGUCAUAAGUACCAAGGAGGAAAACUAUUGAGGAAUUAUUUGAACUCAGUGAAAUGAAUGAAGAGGAUUUAUAUUCCCUUAUGAAUCUGUGAGUGGCUCUGGCAUUUGACUGAUGUACUAUCUGGGCUCUAUAUCUGCUCAUUUGCAUGUUUCCCUGUGUUUUUCUUUAUCGGUAUGCUUAGGGCUUUAGGGAUUUUGGUGUGACUGAGUUUAGUUCUUUUUUUUUUUUUGAUAGGUACAUGUGGCUUCACAUAGUACUAUACUCUUUAUUUUUGUGUACAUGUGAAUAUUUCUGUAAUAAAAUAUUUUUUAAAAAGGAAUUAGUUUGAUCCUGCUAUAAUACAAAAUAUCAAUUUCCAGAAAGAAAAAUAGCAUUUUCUGAUGGACCACUAAGUAUUACAUUAACUUCAAUCAAGUUACUUAGAAAUUGACAAAGAAAUAUUCCAUUUUUUAAAAGAUAAUAAAUGAAAGACAUAUUGUAUCAAUACAAGAAUACCAUGGGAAGCUCAAAGCAGAGAAGUUGUAGACUUUGGAGUCAAUGCAAGCAUCUGUCCUAGCUCUGCUGUUUCCCACCCCCUAGGCUCCCCGGGUUUUGGCAGAUCAUUUAAUUUCCAUGAGCCUGGGGUCCAGGUCCAUAAAGCAAGGUAAUUAAUAAUAUUUCUUGAUCAGCAAAGUACUUAGCUCAGGGUUUGGCACAUGCUAAAUGCUCAGUAAAUGAUUCCAGUAAUUCCAUUUCCCCAGUUCAGUAUUAAAUGCACAUUUUCCCAUAAUCUAAAUGGAGAGAUAACUCCUAAUUGAUGGCAUUAGUUCAGUUAUUAGAGAUAUGCAAUUAAGUAACUACAAAGUAAUAGCACCAAAGACUGAACAUUCACAUGAUAUCAGUCAUGCUGAAUAAAGCUAGUUUCCUCAUUUCAGUUUCAGGAUUAUUUUGAGGAUCUAACUUGAGACAAAAUAUUUCAAGUCUGAGAAAAAUAUUUCUAAUACAUCAUGAACAGAACAGUUUGGACACAAAUUAGUUUUGUAGAAAAUGGUUUAUCAAUUCCAUUUUGGUAUAAAACACAUGGAAGAAAGCUGGCCAAUCUACACAACUAUCACGAUGUGAAAAGGUUCUUUUAUCAAACUUUGAGUCUAAAAAUGUACAAAUGUUUUUUCUAUUGUGUCUAGGAU